UACGUAGGGGGGCAAGCGUUGUCCGGAAUCAUUGGGCGUAAAGAGCGUGUAGGCGGCCCGGUAAGUCCGCUGUGAAAGUCCAGGGCUCAACCCUGGGAUGCCGGUGGAUACUGUCGGGCUAGAGUACGGAAGAGGCGAGUGGAAUUCCCGGUGUAGCGGUGAAAUGCGCAGAUAUCGGGAGGAACACCGGUGGCGAAGGCG
rnacentral:rRNA from 1 species